rnacentral:rRNA from 1 species
AUGAACGCUGGCGGCGUGCCUAAUACAUGCAAGUCGAGCGAACAGACGAGGAGCUUGCUCCUCUGACGUUAGCGGCGGACGGGUGAGUAACACGUGGAUAACCUACCUAUAAGACUGGGAUAACUUCGGGAAACCGGAGCUAAUACCGGAUAAUAUAUUGAACCGCAUGGUUCAAUAGCGAAAGACGGUUUUGCUGUCACUUAUAGAUGGAUUCGCGCCGCAUUAGCUAGUUGGUAAGGUAACGGCUUACCAAGGCAACGAUGCGUAGCCGACCUGAGAGGGUGAUCGGCCACACUGGAACUGAGACGCGGUCCAGACUCCUACGGGAGGCAGCAGUAGGGAAUCUUACGCAAUGGGCGAAAGCCUGACGGAGCAACGCCGCGUGAGUGAUGAAGGUCUUCGGAUCGUAAAACUCUGUUAUUAGGGAAGAACAAAUGUGUAAGUAACUAUGCACGUCUUGACGGUACCUAAUCAGAAAGCCACGGCUAACUACGUG